CCAGGCUCACCUGCAGCCAGCAGGCGCACAUCAGCCAUGGCCUGGGGGCCCGGCCAGCUCUGUGGGCUUCCUGCUGGCUCCUGUCCCACCUAGAAGGCCCAGACUCCUCAGCGCCCAUGGGGACAUCUCAUCACUGAGGACGUGCCAGGUGUCCGGGCAGACUCUGUCCUGGCCUCCCCUUAGCACCUGCAGUGAUGUUUCUGAUUGUGAGCCGGAUUGGAACCCAGGUCCCCAUGUAGCCCUGUGAGCAAGGCCCUCUGUGCCCACCUAAAGCCCACAUCACCAGCUCACUUGAGGAGGGACGGCCUAGGCCCCAGCACGGGGCUGCAGACCUCAGGGUCACCACAGCUGGCGCCCAGGGCAACAGAACAGAAGUGGGGGCAGGACAUGUAGACCAUGGGACACAGGGAUCUGUGACUCAGGCUCUCUCAUGACUCUGUGCCACCUUAGUUGUUGGGUACAGGAGGCCUUUGGUGGACGUCUGGCACACACGGAGCACACACAGAGACACUGUCAGUAUGAACGACAAAAAUUUCAAAUUUGGGGUACCUUGAGGGUUGCUGCCAUCUUGGACACUGCUGGGCACCCCUGCCUGGGCAGGGGCUGGCUCCUCUUCAGAGCGGGUGGCACGGGGCUGGUGGGAGUCCACAUUGCCCUUCUCCACGGGGCAGCCGGCGUCCCUGUGGAAGACUGGGCAGGUCCUGCAGGUGACACAGCUCUCAGGAGCGGGCAGUGAGAAAGCCCAGGCCAAGAUCAGGACAGGCCCAGCCCCAGAGAAAGUGAGUCCUGCCCCCUGACCCCAAGGCCAUGGAGAGCCGUGAGUCCCCAGCACCCCCCUUCUGAACACUCGGCUGUCCUGCUCCAUGGCGAUGUGGCCCUGGCUACUUGGCCCUGGAGGGGCCGCACCCCACCUCAACGGGCAAGAGGACACGGAGGUCCCGGCGGGCACUUUUCCCACCCUCUCCUCGGAAAGCAGAGGCUCGGCCGCACCAGGAGGAGGUGGGCCCUGACCCCACAGCUGGUGUGCGUGGCGGACUGAGCUGGGGGACUGGACCCGGAGCCCUGUGGAGCAGACACGGGGCUGUGUCACGGGCACUGCAGGCCCCUGGACUACUAGCCCAGACCUGUUACUGUGGCAGUCUGGUUGACAGGACCUGUCCUACAGAAGCGCCUCUCUGGCCAGAGAAGGUACCGACUUCCCGAGGCCCAGAGGCCACCAGGACACCGUGACCCUUGGUGCAGGCAGGGG
rnacentral:lncRNA from 1 species